GACAAAAAAAAAAAAAAAAGUGGGAGAUUAGAGAGAGAUUCAAAUAUAGGGAGAAGGCCAUGUGCACAUUGAGAUGGUCCUCUGUCAGCUGAGGAGAGAAGCCUGAAAUAGAUCCCUCCCUCACAGCCUUCAGACACCUUGCUGACACCUUGAUUUUGGACUUCCAGCCCCCGGAAAUGAGACAAUGUGUUUCUGUUGCUAAAGUCAAUGGCUUGCGGUACUUUUUCAUGGCAGCCCUAGCAAACUAAGAGCAGGCCCUUCCAACAUAGGAAACUUCCAACAAAGUCCCUUUUGUUCCUGAAGGGAAGGUUCUUGUCUUGUUGCAGAAGGAAUUCAGAAAUGAGUUGGAAAUUGAAAAAAAAAAGUGAAGAUUUAAGUGAAAAAUACCCCUUUUAAAGCGAGGUGGGCAGAAAGGUGAGCAGCUCUGUGAACUUCUCUGACACACUUAUUAUAAGGGGCAUCCAAUUGCAUGUGUGGAAUAUUCACUGGGAAGGAGGGGUUUGGGGUUCACAUUCCUUAAUUUUCAUUCUAGCUCUACCUUCCAGAAGGAAGGAGGGAUUUUUGUCCUUAGCUUUGAUCAAAAGUGUCACGGUAUUGGUGCAUGAUGGGAAUUUUUAUCUGCGUAGCUAAUUUUAUUAUAAUUUAUUGUGAUGAGGGCAUAAUGAGCAACAGGUUACAUUUGGGCACUGGAGAUGUGCGCCCUUUUCCACCUUUCUUUGUCUGCCUCCAGGACACAUAUCACUCCACAAUGUGUGGCUUCCUAUCAGUCAAGAGGUGCCUGCUUUUCUUUGUCUGCCCAUGGACCCUGCUAUUUGCAUGAUGCAUAAUUUCCUGCCAUCUGGCCUUAUUCCCCCUUCUCUGCUCAUACCUAGCUAUCUGCCUGCUAUAGCACUUUUCUUGGUUCCUCGGCAUUCAAAGAUUCAAAGCCUGUGUGGUGGAAAUCACUCUUUUUAUGCCCCAGAGCAUGAUUCUGUCCACAGGGGGCAGGGGCAGAGGGGUUUACUUCCAGGCCCACAAACACACACCUUGCUGAAAAGUCUGGCCUGUGCCCUGCAGGUCUCUUGGUUUCUUGAGAUUCAUAUUUCUGAACCAUCUCCUUCACUGAUGUCCACAUCUCUACUUGUGUCCAGCCUGGCCUUGCCUUCAAGUAGACAGCAUUCAGUGGCUUCAGACCAUCAUUUCCUCCCUCCAUUGGCUUCCUCCUAACUAGGAAGAGUGAGAUCAAGUCAGCCCUCAAGUCUCCUCCAGCAAGGAGUUGCCAGUGUCGGGCUCUGCUUCUUCAUCACUAGGGUGACAGUGGGCCAGUCAUGCCAUCAGGGCCACAAAUCAAAUGUAGCUGAUUCCUUGCAGUCAGUACAAUAUUGUUUCCUCUGCCCUCCCCAGGAGCAAGUGGUCAGAACCAUAAUGACUCCUAAUGGCAGCUGGCAGGUCUACAUCACAUCUUGACAUUAGCUUUUAGCUAUUUUUUUUUUAUAGCUGCCAGUGCGCUCAGUCAAAUACCUGUCUGUCAUCACAAUCAGACAGGUCUUAAUGUCUCUGCAUUACGGAGGAGGACCUCGGCUCCCUUCCAGCCCGUUUAUUAUGGUCCCAGCGUAGCGUUUUAUCACACAUUCCUCACGCAUAGCCUCCUCUCCACCACCACGGAAAUCUUCCAAGUUGGCAGCUUUAGUGUCUACUGCCAUUAAUCUUCACUAGGCUGGGAUCACGGGGCAAAGGAUGAUUUAUUGCAAUUACCUGUUAUAGUGCAGAGCUCAGGUGAGCUGGGCUCACAUGCAUUUACUGGGCUCCCUUCCAUUCUCCUGCAGCCAAGGAGUAAAACGUGUCUGCUUUGUUGCUAUGUAUAUCUUCUUGCAUUUAGCUCAUCAAAGGUUAGUUAAUUAACGGAGAAGUGAGGAAAUAGAUUUAGAUAGUAGUAGGGUUAUGUAUAGACAUGGUGAAGCCUGGCUGUUCAAAGCCAGAACUGACACUGACAUUUGACAGUCCAUUUAAUUUCUUUGUUGUUUCUGCAUUUUAAGAAACAUCCAAAGGAAAUUCAAAAUUGCACUUACCUGCCACUUUCUGCACCAUCUGUUCCAGGUGAUUAAAACCAAUCUGCAUAUAGUGUGUUUCAUUUCCAAUUUCUCGCUCCCUGGGAUGGCAGGGGGCAGUGCAUGAAGUGGGGAUAAUGUGUGCUUGGGUUCUGCUGGUGAGAAAAAGGAGGGGGUGGGGGUGGAAUAACAGGGAAAAAGAAAGUUCCAUGAAAAGCUCUUUGCAGCAAAAACAAAUGUAUUCCUAAAAAUGGCCCAUUGUUUCCCUGUUACCAGCUCUGAUGGCACCUCCCUGUCUGCUCUAAGUAUUUUUUACUUAGAGCUUCAAUCCUCUCAUGUCACUGGCCUGAUGAGAAAGUGACAAUGUUCAGGAUGGAUUAAAAAGCCUUUUUUGUUUUUUUGUUUGUUUGUUUGAUUUUGUUUUUGCUCUUGUAUCUGAGAUCUUAUUCAUUCCCAAGUUGGUUAUAGUCUGUAGGAAAUACUAUUUGAUGUCUAUAUGAUGGACAAUGCGUCAUUAGUUCACUACUGGAGGGUUUUUUCCCCCCACACCCACAGCAUAUGAAAGUUCCCAGGCUAGGGAUUGAAUCUCAGCAGCAGCUGCAACCUAUGCCACAGCUGUGGCAAUGCCGGAUCCUUAACCCAUCUGCACCACAUCAAUGCCCUGGAGGGGGCAUUGAACUAAAGGAUGUCUCUCCCUCUUCCCCUCCUCCUUCCUUUGCCCCUCUCUCUCUCUCUGAUGAAGCCAGCUACCAUGUUGUAAACUACCUAUGGAGAGACCCACAUGGAAAGGAACUGAGGGUGGCCUCUGGCCCUCAGUCAGGGAGGAGCUGAGGCCCUCAGAUCAAACUCCUGGGAGAAACUAAGUCCUGCCUAUAGUGUGAGGUUGGAGGGAGAUCCUUCUGCAACUGAGCCUUGAGCUGCCUGUAGCCUAGCUGGCACCUUGAUCAAAGCAUGUGAAAGACCCUGAAUUACACUAUCCAGCCAAGCUUUCCCCAGAUUCCUGACUGUGAGAUAAUGUGUUAUUUUAAACCACUACAUUUUGGGAUAUUUUGUUACACAGCCAGAGAUAACUAAUACAACAUGAAAACUUAAAACACACAGGAAUAUUUCCAUGAUUCUCUUUGCUAUAGAGAGGAAUUGGGGAAAGGGCACACUUGCCUUAGAAUCAUGUAAGGAGUACAAAAUGACCCAUAAAAUAAUGAUACAAAUAUUUAACAAAUCUGAGUGACACAGAAACCAACCAACCAGAAGUUAGCCUUGUCACUGAGCAGGCUGCUGGAGGCAUGCCGUGGUGCCCAGGCCACAGUGCCUUCUGGCUUUUGACUUGUGGAAGUUUCCAUGUGGUUCUGGGGCAACUUGGAGGUAUUCGGGGCUCAGAGUAGGGUUAUUUAUCAACUGGGGUGAGUAUGUCCAUGUUUUAACAUCUAGCCUGUCCAUAGUAGUGCCUCUCUUCUGGAUAUCAGCCUUGGGCUAGUUCAAAGAGGUUCAUUUCAGGUAUAUCAUCUGAAUCAGAAGGCACAGGAGGGAGUGGGGUGGGAAGGUAGGAAUCCCUUUUUGUUCUUCCCUUUGACUUACUGAAGAGAAUCUUAUGGGUUCCAAGUCUCCAAAAGACCAGAAUCAGCUAGCUUUUCCAUUUGCUUAUCAGUAAAUCAUCUAUUAUAAGCCCAAAGGUUUCAGAGAACAUACCCUCCCACAGCUGGAAGCCCAGGUUUUGCUCUGACAUCUUCUCUCCCGUUUUCAUGCAUUAGUGAAUGUUAUUCUACAGUGUGCAGGAGCCUGGGCAAGGCAGGCCUUUUAAACAUUCAGCUGCAUGCUUGAACUGGGGAAAUCACAGCUGCCCUCGCUUUUGAUAAUGCCAGGGAAAUUGGUAAAUAAAUAAAUAACUAGGGCCCAGGGUUCAUUUACUAAAUACCCCAAUAGUGCAAGCAAACCGCAUCAGGCACAUCAAAGGAAAAUAAAAGCAUAAUUUAGUAAUAACAUGGUCUCCUGCAGCCUCCUGCUUAACUCAAGUGUUAAGUUAAAAGAGGUAAAUCAGGGGUUUUGCAGCACAAUUUUAUACUUAGUCUUCUUUUUCUUUUUUUUUAAAAAAGAACAGGAUCUGGGACCACUUCCUAUGUUAGCAGGAUCUGGCACAGUUUUCCUUCCUGUGAAAGGGGAGACUUUCACAAAUAAUUGUUACCCAUUAUUCUUUAUUUACCCUUCAACUAAGGACUCUCCUCUCCUGUAAGGAACAUGCCAACGAUUAAAGCAUUUACAUGUAUUUGAGGCACUUUAUACCCACCAGGUCAGGAACUGGUUUUCAGUUUGGGUGUGGAAGAAACAGCACAGAGCCCAGGCUCUGAUGGAGGAGGCUAGUCUGUCAGGAAGAAGGAAAAAGAUGAUGCAGGUAGGAGGCAAGAAGAAUGCAGGGUCUUCUAGGAUAUCUUCCAAAUGGUCUUCCUGUUCCCAGGGACAUCCAAACCUUUAGGUACCUAACAUCAGGGGAUAGGCAGUGUAGAGAUGGCACUGGGAGUGCCCUUGGUCAGCCUUUGUUACCUUAUAAUCAGCCAGGGGUGGUGCAGUCAUGUUCCUAUCACAUUGGACUGCCUACUCCCCUCCAGCUUCUCAACCUCAGGCCCAGAGUUCCCUACCCUGGCUAGCCCUUGGGGGUUCAUCACGCUCGAGCUUUGUGGCCUGAUCUUUCCCUGGUCCCAUUUGCUGAAAACUGACUGCACCCCUGUGCAUGAACCCCAUUUUGUCCUCAUUUUUCACUACCUGCCCUUCAUCUGGGUACUGGGUAUUUUCACUUACAGCAUUUCCCAUGGUUUAGUAUUGAAAACUGCUCCUUCUGCACCCCCUCCAGACUGAAAUGGCUCUGUCCAUCAAGUCCUUCACUAAAUGCACCCACUGGAUGGAGAUGCAUGGUAUUGGAGUCAGGUUGCCUGAGAUCAAAGGCCAACCCUCCUAUUUAGUAGUAGGCAAGUCCCCUUGACUUUGCUAAGCUUUGUCGUCCCAUUAUUCAAAGGGAAAUUUCUCCAAGGCUCAAAUUUUUACCUUAAAAUGAGAAUCAAUAAUCCCUAAUUUGUAGGAUUGUUGUGAGGAUUAAAUAAUAUAAAAUGUUUCACAUGCUGACUGACACAUAAGGUACCCUCAAUAAUUGAUAUAUACACAAUUGUACACUCCUUUAUACCAUUGAUCUUCCUUUGAAUAUUAGAUGAUUUUAUCCCCUUAACCUCCUUUCUAGGUAAGUACCAUUAUUAUCUCCCUUGUGCAAGUGGUGUUAAAUAACUUGCCCAAGCUCAUACAUCCAUUGGAGAGAGGCUUUUGACUGUAGGUCUAAAUCCAUAACCUGUUUCCAGAUUUCCUUAAAAUGAUGAGCUAUUUACUUUCUCUCUUUCCUUUUCAUUUUGGCCAAGAGCUGAUGAAGUGUUUAUGAUUCAAAUGGUUUAUCCAUAUGAAAGGAUAAAUUGAGAGAGGUGAGAAGUCAACACAGGUGUAAUUAGGCAGAUCAUCUGCUGUUGAUAGCGACUCUCCCAGAUGUCAACAAAACAAGUUACUAAAUAGAGUGGAUGCUGGUUGUAAACUUGAAAGUGAGCCAUGCCUUGGAAUAUCAAGAACCACUGCUGAUGGUAGGAAGCAAUAGUAUAAUUAAUCCAACACACGGAUACACAGUAAUUUACAUUUAGAUAUAGAAUCUAUUUAAUACCCAUACUGGUUAAGGUGGGAAUGUUGAAUGCAUCAGCCAGUUGGGGAAACCAUGCCAUAAAAUCAUGUCUUUCAGGGGCUGGAAACCUGUCCCCACUGCUCUCAAGUUCUCCUUCCCACCUACAUGCCAGGCAGCCUCAAGGAAGCUCCUCCUAAGUUUCCUGUCCUCCACAUGCCUCCCUGGUGAUCUGAAGAAAAGGAGAUCAAUACCAAAUAUAUAUCAUUCAGAAGCUGAGCACUGGCAUCAGGAAGCCAAUCAAGAAGAUCUGUUCUAUGAGGAGAGUUACUUAUUGGUCAACCCAAUCUGGGUUCCAGAAAAGUGACUCUUGGGGACACAGUCCCAUUCAGUUCUUCCCCCUGAACACCUGAAAGAGUUUGUUGGACCUAGGACUUUAUAUGGACAACAGCAUAAAUGAGUGGAGAAUAAUACAAAACAUGGUACAUGGAGUACAAUGACUACCUGGGUCACUUGAAUUUUUUUUCUUUUUUUGCUUGAAUUUUUUUUUUUUCUUUUUUGGCAUAUGGACUUCUGUGCCAGGGAUCAAAUCCAAGCCAGUUGCAGGCCACACCACAACUGUGGCAAUGCUGGAUCCUUCUUCCCACUAUGCUGGGCCUGGGAUCAAACAUAGGUCCUGGCAUUGCCAUUGUGCCACAGUGGGAACUCCUCACUUGAAUAUUUACCAAUUUGCACCACCUAGCAUUGCUUGGUGCCUGGUAUUGCACUAAUCACAUCACAUCCAUCAUAUCACUAAUUCCUCUUAAUAUCCCUGUGAUAAUAUUGAGGUAACUGAUAAUAGUAAUAUUAGGUAGGACCCAGCUUUAGCCAACAUUUUAUGGGUGAGAAAACCGAGGACCUGAUAGUGUUAGGGGUUGCCACACCACCACCUGCCACCAGGGAUUCCUAGCCAGUAGCCUGACUCGAGAGCCCAGUUGCUGAAUUAUCACCUCCCCUGCCUUCCUGUCUGCCAGAGAGGAGAUAUCAACAAAGACUCCAAGACCUGCACGCGAGCUCCUCAGGUGUGGAAUUUGUGAUGAGUGAAAGGAAUAUCAAUUGAGUACCUAUUAGAGGAUUCUAUGUUGAAGUGAAAAACAACAGCGCAGAGCCUCCCCUGUUAAACCAGAUUGUGCAGAAGCCCUGUGGACUCUGGCAACAGUAGGUAGAGUGGAGGGCUGGGUUUUAGGCUGCUUUCCUAGUACCGUCUCCAGUUAUGCAUACACUGGGAAAGACCAAAGCUGUAGAGGCAGAGUCCUUAUGGGACUCUAAUGCCAUGUUAUGUGGCACUGCUGGUGUUUUGUGGAGUGACAGUUUCACCACCUAUGCCAUGAAGUUUGUGGGUAAUACAGAUGCUGGCAGCAGCCCUGGCAUUGAGGACUAGAUUCCAGAUGCACCUCAGUGAGGGUGUGAUCUCCCUGCUUUCUGUGCUUUGCGCCACAGCGUGGCUCAUGCUAACAGAGAGCUUGUACGAAACUUCACUGCCAUUGCCCCGUGUCCUGCUGUAAAUGGGGAGGGCCUCAAACUCUGUGUCCCAAGGCCAGGAGCUAGUGUGCUUUCAUCAUUAAAAACACUGUCUCAGGGCUUGGGUGGACCUGGUUUGAAUUCCAGUUUUUGUCAUUUAGUAGCUGUGUGAUUUGGGCUUGUUAAUUAACCUCUCUGUGUGCCAGGACUCAUGUAAGUAAGUAUCCACUCUGUAUUAGAAUUUCAAUGAUAAUUAAAUAAGGUGAUUUUGAAAAAUCACUCAGUAUAA